UAUGUUGUUAUGUGUCAUUGACAUGUCCAAUUGCAUAAUUCCGCUUGACAUUUUACGUGUCAGUAACGUAUCCAUACAUGUCAACAAAUUGUCUACCAAUGCAAAAUAAAAAAAUAAUUUGGAAAUACCAUCGGAUUUUUUGUCACAUGUCAACAACUUGUCAAUUUCAUGUUUGACUUGGACACUUAGUGGCAAUUUGUCACGAUAUGUUCAAUUAUACUAGUAAAAAAAUGAUUUGGACACAAUUUUUGGUGUGUCCUGACAUGUCAACGAGUUGUCUAAAUGUACAAAACUAAAAAUUGAUUGGUAUAUGCCACUGCUGUAUAUUUGUUGAUGCUGUAUCUGUGUUCGACAAUCGCGAGACGAGGAUGAUGAUGCAUCAUGCAUCCUAGGUUUUAGCAUAUCCCAAAAUAUGUAUUUUGCAUGUUCUAAUUAUAUUUGUAAAAGUUUUUCUUUUAAGUAGAGCUACUGAGAUUGUUUCAUCAAUCUUGUAAAAAAAUGAUUCUUUUAAUGAACACAAUAUAUGUUCUUUAUCAUCAUCAACAUUGGCUCAAUUCAUUAACAUAUUUUAUUCAUUCUAGUGUGAACAUAACUUUAACCGCCCAUCUCCAAUACAUAUAUCUUAUGGACAUUGUCAUUCAACUCAACGCUCAAUAUUAGAAGCAUAAAAGUUCAUUUUACUGAUGAUUUGUUCACUNNN
rnacentral:lncRNA from 1 species